UUUAGCGGAGGAAAGGAAACCAACAGGGAUUGCCUUAGUAGCGGCGAGUGAAGCGGCAAAAGCUCAAAUUUGAAAUCUGGCACUUUCAGUGUCCGAGUUGUAAUUUGAAGAAGGUAUCUUUGGGUCUGGCUCUUGUCUAUGUUUCUUGGAACAGAACGUCACAGAGGGUGAGAAUCCCGUGCGAUGAGAUGUCCCAGACCUAUGUAAAGUUCCUUCGAAGAGUCGAGUUGUUUGGGAAUGCAGCUCUAAGUGGGUGGUAAAUUCCAUCUAAAGCUAAAUAUUGGCGAGAGACCGAUAGCGAACAAGUACAGUGAUGGAAAGAUGAAAAGAACUUUGAAAAGAGAGUGAAAAAGUACGUGAAAUUGUUGAAAGGGAAGGGCUUGAGAUCAGACUUGGUAUUUUGUAUGUUACUCUCUCGGGGGUGGCCUCUACAGUUUACCGGGCCAGCAUCAGUUUGGGCGGUAGGACAAUUGCAAAGAAAUGUGGCACCUGCCUCGGUAAGUGUGUUAUAGUGCUUUGUCGAUAGCUGCCAGCCCUAGACUGAGGACUGCGGCUUCGGCCUAGGAUGUUGGCAUAAUGAUCUUAAGUCGCCCGUCUUGAACC
rnacentral:rRNA from 1 species